rnacentral:rRNA from 1 species
CGUGUAGGCGGCUUGACAAGUCGGAUGUGAAAUCCCGGGGCCCAACCCCGGAACUGCAUUCGAAACUGCCUGGCUAGAGUCCCGGAGAGGAAGGCGGAAUUCCCGGUGUAGAGGUGAAAUUCGUAGAUAUCGGGAGGAACACCAGUGGCGAAGGCGGCCUUCUGGACGGUGACUGACGCUGAGACGCGAAAGCGUGGGGAGCAAACAGGAUUAGAUACCCUGGUAGUCC